rnacentral:tRNA from 1 species
CGCGGGGGGAAGGUAUGGUAUCUUGCAGGGCUCAUAACCCUGAUAAAGGGGGUUCAAUUCCCUCCCCCGCAA